ensembl:lncRNA
GUUCAGGAGAAGAAUUCAGAAGAAAAAUCUUCACUGUUCUGUUUUCCUGCUGUUGGUCUGUGAAUUAAAAAAAAAACACUUCCUCAAACUAAAUCACAUCUGUACAGUCAAAGCACUCCUCAGUCCUGCUGCUGCAGCCGGACGGUGGACACACCUGGACAACACCUGCACAACAUCUGGACACACCUGGACUACACCUUUAGUCUCAUUAUGGCCGCUCUCACCUGGUUCCUCACCUUCAUUUGUGCUGCAGGAAGUCACCUGUCUUCAGCCUCACCUGUUCUCCACUCAGCCCCUGAUGUCCAGGCUGGACAGAACGUUUCUCUGAGCUGCAACCUGACGUCCACGCUGGAGAUCACCUGGUUCCUGCUGCGUUCUGAGCAGCUGCUGCCUCUGCUAACAGUAACCCAGACUAAACUACGGGGGAACGUGGUCAGUUUCCACUCUGGAAACCCUCGUCUGACCUGGGAAAGAGACGACCAGAUGGGUCUGAACCUUCAGGAGGUUGAAGAGGAGGAUGCCGGGCUGUAUUUCUGUACCUCUCGGUCAGACGGAGAUGUUCUGGUAAAUGGAGGAAUUCUCCUGACUGUGAACGGAGCCGAUGGGUCCAGCAGAGUAAAGCUGCCAUGCUGGAGUCCGGGGAUCUGCCUUCUUCCAGGUUUAUUCACCUUCUGCUUCAUCAGCAUGGUUGGAUUCUACCUGUGCUCAGACGUCAGGCUGAAUUUGCUGAAUCUGUGGGUUCAUACGUGUCCUGGUUCACGCCUCCUUCAGCAGCAGGCCGUACGGACGGAUGGACUCCUGGACGAUGGCCCUCGUCUGGAUGUCGUUGUGUCCUUCGGGGACAUACACCAACCACACGUCUUCUCUCUGACACUUCACCCUUUUGUCCGGGUUGAUGCGGUUCUGAAGAACCACUUUGUAUGUCUUCCCGUCCACUUUGGACUUGAACUUCUUGCAGUGCUUCUCUGCCAUCUGGAUGUCUGGUGUGGAGUAGACGCCCCGGCCCCGGGUGUCCUCGGCGACCACAGAGGCGGCCGCUGCAUCCAGAAAAUCCGGUUCAUCUUUGGGGUUCCCUUCAUGAGUCAGGAUGAUGCCCAGGGAGCCAUCCAUGCUGUUUCCGUGGUAGGAGACGGGCCAGGCGUCCUUCCCCGUCCUCAGCCAGCUGUCUCCGUCGUCGUACUUCUGGACAACGCGCAGGGCGACCCGGUUCCACCCGCAGGGACGAACGUACUGCUCAUUACCUCGCAGGAACUUCCUGUCGCCAUCCUGGAGGUCAACAGAGGAGGUUUAAAGUUAGAGAUGGAGUCAUCUGAAGGAGAGUCUUGCUUUCUGAUGGAGACCGAGAUGUGUCUGUGAUCUAGAAACUAACAAGAACUACAUCAAACCCUGAUUAGUCCUAUUCAACUGUAGGAACUUGGCUAGGUGUGACGUCAUAAGAACUUUUAUAGAACCGGCUUCCCAAUUGGUCUUUUCAGCCUUUGUUUGACAGAUAGUUCCUGAACAUAACUCCGUUCUGUGUAGGAAAUGGAACAAUGGAGAUUUGUUAAUUUAGCCUGUAGAAUGAAGUUUACUUUGUUUUUGGGGAUGUUUGUGAAGACAAGACUUCUACUGGACAAGGACAUUAAGAUGGCAGAAAAGUGGUGUUCGUUGUGUCCCCAAAUGUAAUCAGUCAGCAUUUGACUUUGAGUUUAACCAGUUUUUCACCGGAGGAAAUCAGUUUUUCUGCACCAAAAAGGACCCUGAAAGAGGUUUUACAUGGGUGUAGAAAAUGACUUGUUCAUAUUCAUUCUUGGUCUGAAACCUUCUUCUCUGAUGAGAUAGUUCCUUUUUAAAAUCAUUAGAUCAUAAUUAUACUCAUAUUUAACAGUUCAGUGUAGAAGCAGAACAAAAUACAAGAUCCCCCAAAGCAUGGAUCAGGUAAACCCUCACCUUUAUCUUGGUGAAGUCAUAGUCGAACUGUGGAUGGAAGAAGUCCUGGAGGUUUAUCUUCACUGUGGUUUUGAGGCUCUCUUCGGGGGCCGGUGUCAGCGCUAGGGGGGAACUGUACAUGUCCAUGUCGUCCACGUCCUGCAGGGAUAAAGUCCCUAAGCUCUCCACAUGGUAUUCCAGCUCUCUGAAGCCCUUCUGCCUGUAAAACUCCUUCAGGGCCACGAUGUUGACCACGUCCUGAGGGCUGAGCUGGGAGGCUCCGGUAGUCGCCUCGACAUUACAGCCAGAGAGAGCUGAGAGAGCUUCCAGACAGCGCUUAGGGUCUGGCAUGACGCUGACAGGAAGUUAAAGAAGCCAGGAAACAAGGAACUUUACUUCCUGUAGGCUUUUUAUUGCUUCUGAGUUACAGAACAGGGUUUUCCUUGAAGAAUAUGUGGAAAAGAAAGAACUCCCUUUUUGUCUGCUGCUCGGCACAAACACCUCGCCCUAGUUUCUCUCUCAUACUUUCACUUUCAUUUAUGCUUCCUGUAAAUCAGAGCCUGGGCAGGAACCCUAACCCAUCUCCUCCUCCUCUGAUUGUGAAAGACCUGAAUAAUGUUUAAAAUUAUUCCAAGAUUCAGGAUUAGUAAACAGUUUAAGCAAGUUGUUAAAAUUUAUUUAGAUAGCACAUUUUAAAACAGGAAAGGAUUUACAGCAGAAUAACUGAUGACAUGUCCUUUUCUAAAGAAUGUUAAUGGUCUGUUCUGUGAUUCUUGGUUGUGAUCCAUCGUAGUUUUCACACAAACUGCAUAAAAGUUGAAUUGUUUUGGCUUGCUCUGGGGGUCAGGCAUAUGGGUUCUGUAAAGCAUCUUGAGACAAUCUGACUGUAAUUGACGCUAUAUAAAUAAAAUUGAAUUGAAUUUUGUCCCCCAUAGGAAAUGAUGGACAAAAGACAUGUCCAGGCAAGGUUUUUAGUAUUUCUAUUUAUUAUAUAUUUAGUUGUUUUUUUUUAAUAUGUCAAAACCAGAGAUCAGAUUAGGAACAAUUCUUCCCAGACUGUAAAACAAAUACAACAAUAAUACUUGAAUUUUCCUCAGGAUUAAUAAAGGGUCUGUCUGUCUGUCUGUCUGUCUGUCUGUCUGUCUGUCUGUCUGUCUGUCUGGGCUAGGGUUACAGUUUCUCCAUGUUGGUUCGUAAACAGGAACUAUAAUUAUAUUUCUAAUUAAAGUCCCUGUUCAGGUGGUUGUAUUUUCAGGAACUUUGCAGCUCAAGGUGUGUAGAGAGGUGAAAAUAAUUGACUUCAGAAAUAAAGUAGGAAGUAAAAUGAAGUGUUCAAACUGAUGAAGUGAAAACAGGCACCCCUAUUGUUAUUUUUUGUGUGUGUUUGCAUCGUUUCUAUUGAUUUGAUCACUCCUGUGGUUUCAGUGCAGUUUCACUUACUUAGAGCGCUAUUCCACAUCCAGCCGAUAGAGGGCGCUUAUCGCGCGGGUAAAGAGUAGUGUUUUGGCACACUGAGGAAGAAUAAACCUUCCUGAUGUGAAGCUAACAUCAGCUCAGCUUGUGCCUCCUCUAUUCUUUAUCACAGGUCAGUAAACAUGCUUAAAAUGAGUAUACAUUGCAGACUUUAAGAGUAGAAGAUGUCGUUUAUUAAAGAGUUUGCACAUGGCCGUAAAGGAAACGGUUUAUUAAGAGAAUUGUGUGUAAGAAGGGAUUUAUUAGUCCUUCGCUAAUCGCGCUAAUGCUAACGGACUUGACUAAUGCGGAAGUGCGUGUGGGAAAAGCUAAUCCAUUACAGUAAAUUGUGUAGCUAAAUGCACAUUUAUGAGGUUUAAUGGCAACACCAGAAAUGAUAUGUUGUAAAGUUACAUGCUGAAUUAUUGCCAGUUGUUUAUAUGUUUAGCUAGUGUCAUUACAAAUGUCAUUAAAGGAGCAUUGCCCUCUUUAUUUAGUUGGUUAUGAGAUAAAUAUGUUGUUUUAUAGAAAAGAUGCAAUUGUUUUGUAAGGAAUGAAACAAGAGUAAGAGAGGGUAUAUUGCUGCUAUGUUAAAAAUACAUUUCAUAUGGUUAGAAUAACACUAUAAAAACUGUUAUGUUAAAAAAUGGUUAAAACUAAUUUAUUUACUAGUUUUCAUGGACAAUGUUAACAAUCAGUGGAUUUAAGAACAAGAGAGCCCAUGGUUGUUUCAUAUUUCAAGAAAAUGAGUUGAAUUAAACUACUGUCAUUGUAUUAUUGGUUAUUCAAAGAAUAAACCUUCCUGUUGUGAAGCUAAUGCCAGCUCAACGUGUGGGCCUCCUCUAUUCUUUAUCACAGCAUCACACGUAGAGAGGACAGAAAACCAGCUGCCCCCUGUCUGCGAAGUCAGGGAGGCAACAGGUGGAACAAAAAAUCUGAAUUAUUUUGUCAAAUUUACCGGUCAGUUGGUUCUCUUGGUGCUGAUUUCAUGUUUUUAAAACACAGUCGACUCACUUAUUCUGAAUCAUUGCACUCACGUUUUAGCCCGACUCGGAGGAUCCUCCAUCCUUAGAGGCCCUCCAUCCCCAGAGACCCUGUAUGCCUAGAGACCCUGUAUGCCUAGAGACCCUGUAUACCUAGAGACCCUGUAUCCCUAGAGACCCUCCAUCCCCAGAGACCCUCUAUCCCCAGAGACCCUGUAUCCCUAGAGACCCUUUAUCCCCAGAGACCCUCUAACCUUCUCCUCCUUCUGUCUUCAGGUAAACCAGCUGGUUACUGCUGUAAUCCAGAAGGACGGGACGCCAGCCUGAGGACCACCGAGGUCAGAACAUGUUCACCACCUGAACUUCCUCUUGUAAAAGCUCAGAUUUGUUUCCAUUAAAUAGAAAAAGGCCCUCUACUUCUCUAUUUAUAUCACCAUCACCAGUUUUUCUUGAAUUGUCAACAACCAGAGGAUGUUGGGUCUUCAGACCACCCUCAUUAUAUCUCUUUCUGAUUGUUUGGUCAGAGACAUUCACACCAGUGUUCUGCUGGAGGUCAUUUUCUAGAGUUAUUGCAGUGCUCAUCCUGUUCUUCCUUGCAUAAAGGAGCAGAUACCUGUCCUGCUGAUGGGUUGAGGACCUUCUAUGGUCCUGUCCAGCUCUCCUAGAGUAACUGCCUGUCUCCUGGAACCUCCUCCAUGCUCUUGAGACUGUGCUGGGAGACACAGCAAACCUUCUGGCAAUGGCAUGCAUUGAUGUACUAUCCUAGAAGAGUUGGACUGUCUAUGCAAACUCUGUAGGGUCCAGGUAUCUCCUCAUCCUACCAGCAGUGACACUGAACCUAGCCAAAUGCAAAACUAGUGAAAAACGGUCAGACAUUAGGAGGGACAAGAAGUCAGUGGCCUUCACCUGUAAACUCAUUCCUGUUUUGAGGUGUGUCUCAUUGUUACCCCUCUAGUGCACCUGUUGUUAAUUUCAUGAACACCAAAGCAGCUGAAACUGACUAAAAACCACCUCUGUUACUUACUUGACCAGAUCAGUAUCCCUCAUGUUUGACUGACUUGAUGCAAUACUUAGAUUAAAAAGUGUUCCUUUAAUUUUUUUGAGCAGUGUAUUUAUCUUUUAAGAACAUGAAGACAUACAUUAAUUUAAAUAUCUUUGUGUUGGUGUUGCAGGAAGCUGCAGUAAUCCUGGUUGUGUUUUUGCAGGAAGAGUCGCUGCAUUACUCCAGUCUGAAGCUUCCAGACAAGCCCCGCCCCUCUGGCAGGCGAGAGCCUCGAUUGGUUGAAGAGAAUGUGACGUACUCAGCAGUGAUGAGUCGCAAGAACCCGAACCAAUCACACGGCCACAAAUAGAAAGCCUUUUAUUCACUGUUACUUUAUUUUAUUUAGUAUUUGGAUGUGUUGUAAACGAUGAAGAGUUUGUUCUCCACCAGUGCUUAAAAAUAAUAAUAAUAAUGAUGAAGAUGGUGAUGAUAAGAAUAAUGAUAAUGGCAAUAAUAAUAAUAAUAACAGUAGUAAUAAUACUACUACUAAUAAUAGUAAUAAUAAUGACAAUAAUAAUAAUUAUUAUUGUUAUAUAAACAUUAAUGGGUAAUUGUGAUUAAUGGAUUCAGUUGAAGUAGACGGUCCUCUCACUGACUGUAUGAGCAUAAAUUAUCUACAUGUGAAUGGACAUAUGAUACAAAAUUUAUUAUAAAAACUAUUUACUAACAUCUUAGUGGCAAAUUCAUUUUUGGAGUUGCUAUAAAGUAAAUGGAAAAAAAUCACUUUUGCACAGAUACCUUUAAGUGGCUUUUAAUCAUCAAAUGAUGCACUCAGGUGUUAAAAAAAGAAGGUAUAAUUAUUAUAUAAUUUUUAUUAAUUAUAAAACAACAGCAGCUCAUAAACUUCUAAUUUCACGUGUGUUGGUUAGAAGUAGCUGAUAACUUCUAGACUGUUAUAUACGUGGCAAUAAAUCCAUAUAGUUUUUGUCAAUAAGCAGCUUUAGCUUCCAUGUAAACAUUGUUGAUGUUGGCGUUCAGACACCAGGGGGCGUUGCAGGAUGGAGAUAGAUAAUUAAAGACUGGUCACCUUCAUGAGAAAAAGAUCUCACCUGAAAUCACUAAUACACUCAUAUCUAUAGUAAAUUAGAUUUAUGUUCAUUUUAUUUCCUAAAUAAAUUUAUAACAUCACCAUAAUGACUGAUUUAUUGAUGAUUUUCAAAUAUAAAGUCAAAUAUUUGCUGAUUUUAGCUACAAAAUAAAGAUUUGCUGCUUUCUUUGGAUCAUACGUCACAGAAAAUGCUCCAUCUUUGAGUUAAAAACUAGCAGGUAAAGAACUAUUUGACUUUUCUAAACAAACUGACAACAUUUUAAUAUCUUCUUAUUUAAAUAAACUAAUUAUCAUGUUUUAUAUGACUGAAGCUGCAGAUUCGCUGCCGACUUGCUGAAGAGAAAAAACUGACUGUACUUUAUGUAAAUAAAGUUUUCUGUUCCUGAUAUUUUGGAGCUUUGCUCUUUUGCACAUUGAAACCAAUAAUCAUGUCCAUAAACAGAAACUGAAUGUUAAAUGUCUCUUACCAUCUGCACAACAGCAGAAAGUUUAUUUUUCUGUCUAUAAUGUUUAUCUGGAGCCUCUACUGUCUUUAUAUUGCUGCUAAAUGUUCCUUUUCCAAUAAAAUCUUCUCAUAUCACACGCUGUGUUUCUACUGUCAUGGGUUCAUGGCUCAAACCUAAACCUGCUUUGACUGAGUUUAUGUUUUUUGUCAUGUGGACAUUUAAAUUUGUGUUAUUUUUACAUUUUUCCAGGUGUUUCCUGUGUGAAGCGACACCAUCCGGCUUCCUCAGACAAAGGUAUGUUUUCUGACUUUAUUAUUUCUCUGCACAUUUACACAAGUUAACUUAUUGGAUCUGAUCAUUUUCAGGGUGUGACCUGGUCAGAAUGAUCAGCUUUGUCAUUUUCUUUCACUUUUACUUCCUCAGAUAUUAAUUUGCUAAAGCUCUUUGGCACAUGAGGGAAAAGGAGACUCAACAUUACAAUCCCUAAAAGUCUGUACAGAUAAAGGGAAAUAAAGACGUGUAGAUAAAUAAUAGGAAAUAAAGACUUUAGUGCAGAUAAAUAAUGGGAAAUAAAGACUUUAGUGCAGAUAAAGGGAAAUAAAGACGUGUAGAUAAAUAAUGGGAAAUAAGGACUUUAGUGCAGAUAAAGGGAAAUAAAGACGUGUAGAUAAAUAAUGGGAAAUAAGGACUUUAGUGCAGAUAAAGGGAAAUAAAGACUAGUGCAGAUAAAUAAAGGGAAAUAAAGACUUAAGUUGAUUUCAUUCAAAUGUCAAAAGUAGCAAAAACCUGAAAGUUCACUCUGCUGUUGACGGACAUUUAGAGGAAACUGGAUGACAUUUUCUAGCUGUGAACGAAACAAUCUGCAGAAUGAAAGGAUAAAAACAUGUUCCAUGAAAUCAUUUAUACAGAAACCAAUAGUCAGAAAAUGGAGUUUGGAAAUUAUGCUUUAGAUUUUUUAAAUCACUCAUCUGUGUAUACACCAAAUUCAUGUUUAUUUAUAUUAAUAUUGAAAUGUGGAGCUUUGAAAACUUUCAAAUUCAUAAAAAGACAAAAACUAGAGAUGAAGCCGUUUUACAUGUAUAGACUAUUACAGUCUGAGUUUCAUAGUUUUAGGGCUGAAACUAUAUUUAACUUUACAACUUUGAAGUGUUUUGUGAAAAUAUAUUGAUUUAUAAUCACUAAAAAUGUGUUCAUCUCUGGAAACCUGUCGUUUUACAUGUGUUUGGGGCUCCUGGCAGGUUUACACGUUCAUUAAACUAGAACAAUAAAAAUUCACACUUUAAUAGUAAAUCCAUCUGAAACCAACACUCUUUUCUUGACCAUCUCUGAUUUUUCUCAUUUUCUUAUAUCAUGAAAUAUGGAUAUUAAUAAAAACAACAAAUUUUAGCUCAAGAUAUCAAACAUGUCAAGGUAAAAGUUUUUUGAAAAUGUGUUAAAAUUGUUUUAGCACAUUUUUUGGGACUAUUUUUUUUAAUCGUCUUGCAAAGUAUUUUAUAUAUUUUAUGAUUUAAAAAGUUUAAUGGAUAUGAGAUGACAAGCAGAAAGCCUGUGAUGAUUUCAGACAUAGUUUUGGAACAUUUUUGGGGUCAACGGGCAAUUUUUCUAAACAUAUGUUGAUAUAUAAGAUAGACUUGUGGGUAAAUCAGAGAUGAAUCUCCCUCGGGAUUAAUAAAAUAUCUAUAUAUGGUCCAGCAGAAGACCCCUGAUGAUCUAAGAUGGUUUGUUCUGAGACAAAGAGACAAUGCAUAUGGGGUAAAAACAGUUUAAAGACAUGGAUUUUUGAGUUUCUAUCUGGCAGCAGGUCUGGUGAUGACGGACGAGUAGAUCACACUCUGAUCUGCUGGAGUCCUGCCGGGUCUUUCCCUCCAGUUCUGUCGGCCCAGAGAGGCGUAAUGGAUUGUCUCCUCAAUGGCCUCACAGUCUGCAGACAGAUGGAGUUAUAUCCUGUGAACAGAUCUGAGAUUAUGGCGGCAUUCAGAGGUCAGAGACGUUACCGGUUUGUCCGCUGGACGUCUUCCACGGCUGCAGCUCUGUGUCUUCAUGCCUCAGUGCUGCUGCAGAGGAAACAGCAUUAAGGUGAUGAUAGAAAUAUACACUACAGAAUCAUCUGCAAACAGGCAGACUUCUACUGAACGUUAGUUCCUGUUCCUGUAGAAAUAUCUGUGAAAAUCCCUUAAUUACAUGUACUGCUUCAGAUCUUUAAAAUAAGCACAUAACCAAUAUUUUUAAUAAGAAUCCUUUGCAUUUGUUUAUCUAGGAAGAGGAAAUAAGAUUUAUUUCUUUUUGCAAACUGCUUAACAAUCAUACCGAAACAAGGUAUAAGAUAUAGAAGAAAGUAAGAAAAUGCUUCUAAAUGUUAAAAAAGAAAAACACUGAUUUUGUGCAGUUUUUGUUGAAUGCGGUGAUAUAUUUACAUUUUUUUAUAAAAGGUUUUUCAUGGCAACAGAAGUUUUUGUAUCUACAAAGUGUAAAUAUCCAUAAAUUUCUUCUUAAAAAGCUAAGAAAUGCCGAUGUGAAAAAUAGUUUAUGCAACAAAAAACAAAACAACAAAAAAACUACAGAACAUCGUGAAAAGUAUUUAUUAAUUAUCAAUUAUUUUAAUGUUUGUUGAUUUUAUAUGUAAAGUGUAUUUGAGUGUUUCGAAAAUUUGUUAUUCUUCUUCUUAUUAUUAUUAUUAUUAUUAUUAAGGGUUUAUUUCAUCAAUAAAUUCUUCAUGAACUUUGAAAAUGCUUUGUAACUUUUAAUCAGUUUUAUUUUUCUGGAUCAGACGGAGGUUUCACUUUAAGUCCCUCCUCAAUUUUUUUUUUUUAAUUGUGAGGGGUGCAAGAAAAUAAAGAAUUUCAAGGAAAAAAAAGAUAAUUUAACAAAUUCUAUGUGAUGAUCUAGUGCAGUGGUUUCCAACCUGUUUGGCUUGGAGCCCCCGAUAAGAUGCACCCCAGCCCCCCAUAAGUACACUACAGUACUAACAGGGAAGUUAUUAAAUUGUAUUACAAAUAAAAAUUCCCUAAAAUUAUGAAAAAAAAUAUUUGUGCUAUGACUAACAGGAGCCAGUUUAUGGCUGCAGUAAAUGUGAUGACACUGCAGUGCAUCAGAGUUAUUGAAUUUUUAUUUAUUUUAUGUUUUACUAUAAAAACUCCUUAAAAUUAUGCAAACAUAUUGAAAAUCAAACCAAGAGUUGUAGUAUGACCAGCAUGAGCCAAUUAAUGCCUGCAUUGAAUUUGGUGACACUGCAGUGUAUCAGAGUGGAAUUAUUGAAUAUGUGUCUCUUUGCUGUUGCAACAGUUUAAUUUGCAGACGGUCCCUGUUCACUCUUCAUAGACACCAAUGUUAUUCCUGCAGCUUGAAAGACAGCUACUUUUGAUUAAACUGGGCUUGUAGCACAUUGUCUACCUCACAACGAUGUCAGGCCUGCCCCAAACAGGCAUUAGACAGGGCUCUCCAUUUUCCCCUCCCUUUCUGUGCUCUACAGGUGUGCUGGGCAUGAAGGCUGCGGUGGCAGGUAUGAAUGAUUGUAAUCAGCAGCAGCAGCGGAGCGGGAGCAGGUGGAGCCGGGCCAAUCAGAAGCCAUCUUCUCUACAAUAAAGCCUGACUCUACUCAUCAUUCUGUGCGGGACCGUGAAGGAUCGACAUCUGGAUCCCACCAGUUCGUGCCCACCUGUUCUCGCUGCAUUUGGAUCAAGAAACUCUGGCUGCAACUAUUCCUCCCACUCAAGUUCGGAGCUCACCUGGUCAGUCUCCGCCGCCUUCAGACGCCACAUCAACACGUGGCAGCUUCCGGUACACCUGUCUCCCUCCGGGACCCUCCUCCGUGUGCAGCUCCCCCUACCAGCUGGACACCAGCCCUCACCUCCCUUUCCCCGUCCAUUCAUGCUGUUCCUGGGCACGAGCCUUCCAGACUAGUGAGUUAGUGUUUGGUAAAUGAUAGUUCUUGUGUCUGAGUAUAGUACAACUCUAGUUUGCUUAAAGUAGCCUUUGGAUUCUUAUUGAGUUUGGAAUUAUUCUUGUAUCCGCUGUUAGUUCCAGCGUAGAUAAUAUGUUGCCAGUUAUAGUCUGCUUCUUGUUUCAUUAGAAUUUUGCUCAUUUGAUCUUCGCUCUAGAAUUCUGUUAUUUGCUUUCCUACCUAAGUGAUGCCAAACGUGGGUCAGUCCAUUAUUUUGUAGUUUGAACUCCGCCAGUCCACUAGGGGAACCCUCGUAGCGGUAGUCUUCUUGUCGCGCUCUAUUAAGCGUCAUUUCCGGUUCUCGUCUACCGGACAUAUUUGUAGUUUUUUGUGUUUCCGGAAUCUGUGAAUAAAUCCUUGUUUUGAAGACUCAUCUGGUCUCUUUCCUCAUUCCUGCACCUGAGCCUCACUGAACCUGUAACAAACGAUGGGAAACGGGCAUCAUUUUUGUUUAGACAAUGUAUAUCUAAUGAGUUAUUGAUGCCGG